GAUGAACGCUGGCGGCGUGCCUAAUACAUGCAAGUCGAACGCUUAUAUCCUCCCGAGUGCUUGCUCUCAAUAGGAAAGAGGGGGUGCGGAAGGGUGAGUAACCCGUGCUAAACCUACCCAACAGCGUGGGAUAACACUUGGAAACAGGGGCUAAUACCGCAUAACAGUUUAUGCCGCAUGGCAUAAGAGUGAAAGGCGCUCUUGGGUGUCGAUGAGGGCCGGACCCGCGGUGCAUUAGCUAGUUGGUAAGGUAACGGCUCACCAAGGCCACGAUGCAUAGCCGACCUGAGAGGGUGAUCGGCCACACUGGGACUGAGACACGGCCCAGACUCCUACGGGAGGCAGCAGUAGGGAAUCUUCGGCAAUGGGCGAAAGCCUGACCGAGCAACGCCGCGUGAGUGAAGAAGGUUUUCGGAUCGUAAAACUCUGUUGUUAGGGAAGAACAAGUGCGUAAGUAACUGAGCGCCCCCUGACGGUACCUAACCAGAAAGCCACGGCUAACUACGUG
rnacentral:rRNA from 1 species